UACGGGGGGGGGCAAGCGUUGUUCGGAAUCACUGGGCGUAAAGCGUCUGUAGGUGGUUCGAAAAGUCCACUGUUAAAAAUUGAAGCUUAACUUCAAAGAUGCCGUGGAAACUUUCAAACUAGAGUGUGGUAGGGGUAGAGGGAAUUUCCAGUGGAGCGGUGAAAUGCGUAGAUAUUGGAAAGACCACCGAUGGCGAAGGCACUCUACUGGGCCAUUACUGACACUGAGAGACGAAAGCUAGGGGAGCAAAUGGG
rnacentral:rRNA from 1 species